UGCAAGGCCCUGGGUUCAAGCCCCAGCACUACUAAACAAAACAAAAACAUAAUACGUCUGCAUUCUCAGAAUAACACAAACUUUAGGGUUGUAAUAUCUGAUAUAGUUUGGAUUGUAAAUGUCCCCCAAUGGUCAUAUGUUGGAGGCUUAGACCUCAGCCAGGGCUGCUAGAGGGAGGUGAUAAAAACUUGAAGAGCUGGGGCCUACCAGGAGUCACUGGAGGCAUGCCUUUGAAAGAGAUUGUGGGACCCCAGUCUCUUCCUCUUUCAUUCCUGGCCAUGAGACAAACAGCUUUGCUCUGCCACAUGCUCCCACCAUGAUGUGCUACUGUCCUCCAACCCAGCCCACUGGAAGCCUAAAAGCAACAGGUUCACCGGAUCAUGGACUGACCUCUCUCUUUUUCACAUCCUGGUCGUGAAGUGAAUAGUUUUACCACAUGGUGCCUCCGUGAUGUACUGCCUUGCCACAGACCCAAAAGCAACAGGCCAGCAGACCAAGGACUAAAGCCUCUGAACUAAAGCUAUGAACCCAAAUAAACCUUCUCUUGGGCUUGGGGUUUAGCUCAGUGUAAAGCACUUGCCUAAUAUGUGUGAAGCCCUGGGCUUGAUCCCCAGCACUAAAAAUUAAAAAUUUAUUAGCACUAAAGCUAAAAAUUGUUCGACUUUAGUAACCAGGCUAUGAUGGCUUUGUAACCUGAGUUUGAGUGGUUCCUCUUUCCUGAUCUAUGAAAGAGUUUGUGAAAUCAUGGUAUUUUUCCUUCUUAAAUAUAUAUUAGAAUUUUAACCUUAAUUACCUUCUUAAAGGCCUUAUCUCAAAUACAGUCACACUGGAGGUUAGAGCUUCAACAUAUGGAUUUAGGUGAGGGUGGAGGGGGUAACAGAAUUCAUUCCAUAACAGUUCUUUUGGGUAUUUGUUAAUUAUCAUUGUUGCAUAAACAUUCUUCAUAUAUCAUAUAUCAUGUUUUCAUUAUCCAUAAAGGGUAUUUGGUUAAUUUCACUUGAUGUUAUUAGGAACAGUACCUCUGUGAACAUUCCUGUGUCUUUUGGGUGAAUAUUAAAUAUUUGUUUGGCACAUUCCUAAGAAUUGCUGAAUCCAUAAAAUAUCCUUAUUUUCAGUUUUACUAGCUACUGACAAUUUUCCCAUAACUUGAUUCACCCUCCCACCAGUAGUUACUGAGAGUUCUGUUUGCUUUGUCAACACUUGGUAGUAUCUGGCUUUAUUUUUAGUAAAUUCCGGGAGUUCUUUGAAAUAUCUCAUUAUGGUUUCAAUUUAUAUUUCCUUUAUAACUAAUGAAAUUUCAUCUCUUUUUCAUGUUUAUUGGCCAUUUGGAUAUGAUUUAUUUGCUUUUUCUAUA
rnacentral:lncRNA from 1 species